rnacentral:rRNA from 1 species
AGAGUUUGAUCAUGGCUCAGGAUGAACGCUAGCGGCAGGCUUAAUACAUGCAUGUCGAGGGGCAGCGCGGGUAGCAAUACCUGGCGGCGACCGGCAAACGGGUGCGGAACACGUACGCAACCUUCCCAAAACUGGGGAAUAGCCCUCCGAAAGGAGGAUUAAUACCCCGUAACAUAACGAAGUGGCAUCACUUUGUUAUUAUAGUUCCGACGGUUUUGGAUGGGCGUGCGCCUGAUUAGGUAGUUGGCGGGGUAACGGCCCGCCAAGCCUACGAUCAGUAACUGGUGUGAGAGCACGACCAGUCACACGGGCACUGAGACACGGGCCCGACUCCUACGGGAGGCAGCAGUAAGGAAUAUUGGUCAAUGGACGCAAGUCUGAACCAGCCAUGCCGCGUGAAGGAUGAAGGUCCUCUGGAUUGUAAACUUCUUUUAUAUGGGACGAAAAAAGGGCAUUCCUGCUCACUUGACGGUACCAUAGGAAUAAGCACCGGCUAACUCCGUGCCAGCAGCCGCGGUAAUACGGAGGGUGCGAGCGUUAUCCGGAUUUACUGGGUUUAAAGGGUGCGUAGGUGGGCAGGUAAGUCAGUGGUGAAAUCUCCGGGCUUAACCCGGAAACUGCCAUUGAUACUAUCUGUCUUGAAUAUCCUGGAGGUGAGCGGAAUAUGUCAUGUAGCGGUGAAAUGCUUAGAUAUGACAUAGAACACCGAUUGCGAAGGCAGCUCACUACGGGGUCAUUGACACUGAGGCACGAAAGCGUGGGGAUCAAACAGGAUUAGAUACCCUGGUAGUCCACGCCCUAAACGAUGGAUACUCGACAUUUGCGAUAUACUGUAAGUGUCUGAGCGAAAGCAUUAAGUAUCCCACCUGGGAAGUACGACCGCAAGGUUGAAACUCAAAGGAAUUGACGG